rnacentral:rRNA from 1 species
GACGAACGCUGGCGGCGUGCCUAAUACAUGCAAGUUGAGCGCUGAAGGUUGGUACUUGUACCGACUGGAUGAGCAGCGAACGGGUGAGUAACGCGUGGGGAAUCUGCCUUCGAGCGGGGGACAACAUUUGGAAACGAAUGCUAAUACCGCAUAAAAACUUUAAACACAAGUUUUAAGUUUGAAAGAUGCAAUUGCAUCACUCAAAGAUGAUCCCGCGUUGUAUUAGCUAGUUGGUGAGGUAAAGGCUCACCAAGGCGAUGAUACAUAGCCGACCUGAGAGGGUGAUCGGCCACAUUGGGACUGAGACACGGCCCAAACUCCUACGGGAGGCAGCAGUAGGGAAUCUUCGGCAAUGGACGAAAGUCUGACCGAGCAACGCCGCGUGAGUGAAGAAGGUUUUCGGAUCGUAAAACUCUGUUGGUAGAGAAGAACGUUGGUGAGAGUGGAAAGCUCAUCAAGUGACGGUAACUACCCAGAAAGGGACGGCUAACUACGUG